AACUCAGAACAAUAACUAAAGCAUAGAAGGAAGGCUAAAAUAAGAAUUCAGAAACUAUAAACCGGCUCUCUUCUAGCUUACGACACAAACUAUGAGUGAGAAAAGGACAAAUGAUUCGCUCUUUGCUUCAUUUUUUCCGAGGUUGUCACAACAUGAAAUGUCAUUUGGACCUAUUGGACUCAUUUUAACUCGGCCAAAUACAUAGUAACAUACAUAAGAAGGUUUUACUUAUAUUUACCGAACUAUUUGACACGGUCGCGUGAACUUUGUUUACGAGUGUCUUGUGUUCAGAUUGUUUUAAGUGAUAAUUUAACAAUAUUUUUCCAAAUAAAUGGAAAGAAACUUUUAUUUAUAUCAAAUAAUUGAGUGUCUCGACUCUGUGACAUUAUGUCUUGUGUGGUAUGGGGCUGCAGCUCACAUUCAGGAAGAAAAGAAAAUAGCCAACAACUUCUGUCGUUUCAUCGAUUUCCUGUAGACGAUAACAAAGAGAAAGAAUGGAUAAUUCGCAUUAAUAGACGAAAUUGGAUUCCAAAUAAGUACAGCCGUAUUUGCUCGAAACAUUUUACUGCGGAUUCAUUUAUGUGUGUUCCUAAUUCGAAGUGGAGACGUCUUCGAGACGAUGCUAUUCCUACAUUGAACAUUAUAGAUCAGACAGAUGAAAUGGUAAUUACGGCCGAGCACCACACACCCGAAGUCUCGACGGCAAAAGGGACAAAAUUGUGGGUCCGCGUUAAAUUCCCAUAUUUCGCCAGUUUUUGGCUAGCGGCCCACUCGGCAGCCGGCCCUGCGGUUCGAGUAGUACGGGGCAGGUGCGUUGCUGCAAACCUGCAAGCGCAGGUCGCGUCCCACAAUAAAGCACGCCCCCUCUCCUAGGGUAUGAGCGUGAGCCCAUCGGGCCUCUUACCGUCUGUGCGGCUUAGACCCGGCGGUUCCAAUUUGCACGGCACGGCGAUCAACACCAGUGCACGGCGGAUGACAUCAUAAAUAAAUUCGAAUAUUACAAAAUACUUACCGAUGAAACGAUAA